AUUUUUAUAUUUUAUUUUUUUAUAGAGACGGGAUUUCACCAUGUUUCCCAGGCUGUUCUCAAACUCCUGGACUCAAGCGAUCCUCCCGCCUUGGCCUCCCACAGUGCUGGGAUGACAGGCGUGAGCCACCGCGCUGGCCCGGGCUGUGCAUUUGUUUGCAUUCUUCUCAAAUUAGUUUUCAGUUUCCCUGAUGGUCUCUUUGACUCACUGGUUGUUUAGGAGUGUGCAAUUUCCACAUAUUUUUGAAUUUCUCACAUUUCCUUCACUGUUGAUUUCCAGUUUCGUGCCAGUACAGCUGAAGAACACCUCUGCUUUGGUCUCAGUCCUUCUCCAUUCACUGAGGCUCAUUUUGUGGCCUGGCACAUGGUCUGUUAUGGGGAAUGUCCCAUGGGUGCUCGAGAGGACUGUGUAUUCAGCUGUUGUUGGGUGGUGUGUGUAACAGAUGUCCAUUCGGCGUACCUGGUUUCCUGUGUUAAUCUCUGGAAUGUUUCUGUCACUAGAAAAUCAGAAACUUUCCACCGAUCCCAGCGCCCUGGCUUUGGGAGAGGCCAGUGAGCCUGUGGCUUGGGAGCCUGGUUGCAUGAGAGAAGCAUGUGUGGGAAUGCCAGGGCCCGGCUUUGAACCCCAUUCCCCCAACAUGAUGCCCGAUGUGGCAGACAUGACGCUUGGCUUUGCUCUCUCAGGGUUCCAUCUGCGACAGGGGCUACUUGUGCCCCCGGCCUCAUCAGCUCAGGCUGAAGGCGGCCCUGGUCCUGGCCAGAGGGGCUUUGUGAAGCAGAAAUAGAUGGCCUGGUGCAGGGGCCGAGCCUGUCCAGGACCUCGGCCCUGGGAGGUGUAAAGAAGGCCGGCCUCUACCAUGAGCAUCUGCACCAAGGCCAGCUGUGGGCCGUCCAGCGGCUGUGCUACUUCUACAGCACCGUCAUGCCCAGCGAGGCCCAGUGUGUCAUCUACCAUGAGCUCCAGCUCUCCCUGGCCCGCAAGGUGGCCGACAAGGUGCUGGAGGGGCAGCUCCUGGAGACCAUCAGUUAGCUCUACCUCUCCCUGGGUACCGAGUGGGCCUACAAAUCCACUCUGGACUACACUAAAUGAAGUCUGGGGAUUUUCGUUGACCUUCAGAAGAAAGAGAAGGAGGCGCAUGCCUGGCUGCAAGCAGGGAAGAUCUAUUACGGCCUGCAGCAGAGCGAGCUGGUGGACCUGUACAUCCAGGUGGCACAGAAUGUGGUCCUGUACACAGGUGACUCCAACUUGGGGCUGGAGCUGUUUGAGGCAGCUGGAGACAUCUUCAAUGGGGCCUGGGAGCAGGAGAAAGCCGUGUCCUUCUACCGGGGGACCAGCUGAACGAGCGCACGGCCUACCACCGGCUGGCCGCCCUGCACCAUCGGCUGGGCCAUGGCAAGCUGGCGAAGCACUUCUACCUCAAGGCCCUGUAGCUCUGCAACUCGCCGCUGGAGUUCGACGAGGAGACCCUCUACUUCGUGAAGGUGUACCUGGUGCUCGGUGACAUCAUCUUCUAUGACCUGAAGGUGGGUGGCAGGGGCAGGGCUCGGGGUGUUCCCGGCCCCCUUGGAGUGGGAUCUCCACCCAGACCCCAGAGGCCUGUGUUCCAGCCUUCCUUAGGAAUGGCCCAGUGGCCUCCCUGGAGCUCUGCACGCGGCUGGAGGAGCGGGCAAGGUUCGCAGAUACAACCCAGCUCCCAAGCUGGCCAGGCCCCACCCUCAAGAACUCAGUCUCAGCCAGGGAGGCUGACACAUGAGUGGGCAAUGGUGGCCUCUGGGUAAAGAAGGGGGAUUGUAGUCGGGGGGCCCUCCUGGAUGAGGUGACACCAAAGCUGAGUCUUGACAGUCAAGUGUCAAGUUGCAUUUAACAAAGAAAACAGGGUCGGGAGAAGGACAUUUCGGAGGACAGCAUCAUCCUCACAUUAAAUCCAUGUUGCAAGAUCCAACCCAAAUCCUGGCGCCUCCUCUAGGAAGCCUGCCCAGGGUGCCAGCCUGCACUGAGCAACUCCUUCCUGGAGUCCCGAGACACCUUGAAUCUUCACAUCACCCAGGAAGGGUGGGGUGGGACCAGUGUCUUACCAUCGGGUUCACAGACAGGGAAACCCCAUCACAGGGCAGGUGCAGUGGGGCGGGGACCCAGCCAGCCAGGCUGAGGCCUUGCUGGGUCGGGUCUGUCUCGAGGGGAGGUGCUGUGCUCCCUCUGCCCCCAGCCCUGCAGGAGUGGAGAGCUGGGACUGUCAGACUCAGACCUGGGGUGUCUCCACCCCUCUGCCCAGCAGGCACCGCCCCUCCUUAGCAUCUCACCAGCACCGCGUCAGUGCUCCUUAUGGGCUGAGGGGCCAGGGCACUCCAGUCCAGGGGCCGAGAUCUUGGGGGCCUUAGAACAACAUGAGGAGCUGGGGCAGCCCUAAGACCCCGCCCCGUAUCCCCCACUGCAGGCCUGGGGCUGCCCGGGAGGCCUACGCCCAGUGCUGGCGACACCUGGUGGUCAGAAGUGGUCCCUGUGGCCUCCCAAGUCCCAGCUAGACAGGGAGGUGCCAAGUGUCAGACCCAGAGGGACACUGCUCACCGCUCAGGGGCUCACCUGGGACCCAGGGUGACGGGCCUCCCAGAAGAGGCCUUUAUCUCUCUUGGUCAUGCCUUCCGCCCACUCCGCCUGCCCAGGAGGAAGGAAAGGGCCAAGUAGUACCUGAGAGGCCAAAGUCCACGGUUGGGGUUGAGGGGCAGAGGCCUCCUUCACCUCCUUCCCAUGCACAGCCCUC
rnacentral:lncRNA from 10 species